GCCCAGCACAUCUGUUGUACAGCAUUAGACUCUUAAUCUAAGGGUCGUGGGUUCGAGCCCCACAUUGGGCG
rnacentral:tRNA from 1 species